rnacentral:rRNA from 1 species
UGGGGAAUAUUGCACAAUGGGCGCAAGCCUGAUGCAGCCAUGCCGCGUGUAUGAAGAAGGCCUUCGGGUUGUAAAGUACUUUCAGUCGGGAGGAAGGUGGUAAGGUUAAUAACCUUAUCAAUUGACGUUACCGACAGAAGAAGCACCGGCUAACUCCGUGCCAGCAGCCGCGGCAAUACGGAGGGUGCAAGCGUUAAUCGGAAUUACUGGGCGUAAAGCGCACGCAGGCGGUUGAUUGAGUCAGAUGUGAAAUCCCCGGGCUUAACCCGGGAAUUGCAUCUGAUACUGGUCAGCUAGAGUCUUGUAGAGGGGGGUAGAAUUCCAUGUGUAGCGGUGAAAUGCGUAGAGAUGUGGAGGAAUACCGGUGGCGAAGGCGGCCCCCUGGACAAAGACUGACGCUCAGGUGCGAAAGCGUGGGGAGCAAACAGG